AGCGGCGUGGCCCAGUGGAUAGAGCGCCGGCCUGGGAGUCAGAAGGAUCUGGGUUCUAAUCCCAGCUCCUCCA
rnacentral:tRNA from 1 species